rnacentral:snoRNA from 2 species
CCCCUCUCAGGGUCACACCUGGAGAGUUUCUAGCACUCUACCAGUCUCGGGCUACGGGAGGGAGAGUCAAGCAGAGGCCUGUCCAUUCCAUUCCUAGCUUGGGUAGUGGCUAGGGAGUGGGAAGCAAUCUGCUACAAGU